ACCUGGCUGGCUCAGUCGGUGGAGCAUGUGACUCUUGAUCUCUGGGGUCGUGAGUUCAAGUCCCAUAUUGGGUG
rnacentral:tRNA from 1 species